UGCGCCCCCAGAGGAGGGUCACUGUGGGGACAAACAGCACACAUGCUGCACACGGGCACCUCCCCCACAUAAUCAGUACAGCUGUCACCCUGGUCCAGGCUGACUGCGGGACACAAGGACAUCAUUCCCCGUCCUCCCGUGGCUACAAGACACAUAAGUCGCCCAAAGCCCCUCCCGAGCCCCCAUCUACCCGAGUCUCAAGUGCACAGAGCCUGACCCGGGGCGGCGCCGGGACGUGGGGACCUGCCCCCUCGGGGGCCCUGAGCCACCUGACCCCCCCCUCCGCCACCACCCACCCCCCUCCCCCGGAACAGGGACAGCACCCGCCGCCGCGGAGCCUUACCGCGCGUCCCAGGAAAGUUUCCCUGUCCCUACAGAAGCGGACGACGGCGACACGUCGGUGACCCGGCGCACGACCCGGCAAACGCGCGAGCCCCUUACCAUCUCUCCGGAGGCCGGCGGCGCGCAGGGCCCGCAGGGACGCGCUCUGCGGGGCCGCGGGGGCGUCCCGACAGCCGCACAGAGGUCAGCCGAGGUCCAGACCCCACAAAACCUCCUCCUGCCGAAUCUUUGGAAAGUCAGCAGUAGCCUAGCUCUGUGUCACCGUGCCUGCGACCGUCCUCACCUCCUACCAUCUCAUCUGGCAGGCAUUCGCUCACGUCAACUCCUCAUAAGAAGCGUGAGUCCAGCAAGAUAUUUGAGAGAGAGACCACAUCCCCAUAACUUGUAGUACCGUAUAAUAAAAUUGUUAUAAUUGUUCA